UACGUAGGGUGCAAGCGUUGUCCGGAAGUAUUGGGCGUAAAGAGCUCGUAGGCGGUUCGUCGCGUCGGCUGUGAAAACCCGGAGCUCAACUCCGGGCCUGCAGUCGAUACGGGCGGACUUGAGUGUUGCAGGGGAGACUGGAAUUCCUGGUGUAGCGGUGAAAUGCGCAGAUAUCAGGAGGAACACCGGUGGCGAAGGCGGUUCUCUGGGCAUGUCCUGACGCUGAGGAGCGAAAGUGUGGGGAGCGAACAGG
rnacentral:rRNA from 1 species